rnacentral:rRNA from 1 species
GAUGAACGCUGGCGGCGUGCCUAAUACAUGCAAGUCGAGCGAAGCGGGGACGGGUGAGUAACACGUGGAUAACCUCCUAUAAGACUGGGAUAACUUCGGGAAACCGGAGCUAAACCGGAUACUUAUCGAUGGAUAUGCGCUGCAUGAGCUAGUGGGUAAGUUAACGGCUUACCAAGGCAACGAUGCCUAGCAGACCUGCGAGGGUGAUCGGCCACACUGGAACUGAGACACGGUCCAGACUCCUACGGGAGGGAGCAGUAGGGAAUAUUGCGCAAUGGGCGAAAGCCGGAUGGAGCAACGGCGCGUGAGUGAUGAAGGUCUUCGGAUCGUAAAACUCUGUUAUUAGGGAAGCGGUACCUAAUCAGAAAGCCACGGCUAACUACGUGCCAGCAGCCGCGGUAAUAC